UUUUCUUGAAAAUAUUGCCCAGAAGUAUUUCUUGCAUGAGCAACAAGAAAAACUAAAUGGACUACACGUCAAUUAAUUAGUACAUUAUUAAGAUUUAUUUUAAGUCAUGAAAUUCAACUUCAACAAUUAGUAGCAAUGACUCGCUCGAAUGAGGAGUGAAAAUUGAAGAAGUGGUGCUUCCGUAGGAGAAAUCCUUAGACUUGGAGACUCUUUUUUAAGAGAGAUUAGUUGGCUACAAGAG
rnacentral:sRNA from 12 species